AGAGAGGGAACACAAGCAGGGGGAGUGGGAGAGGGAGAAGCAGGCUUCCCGCGGAGCAGAGAGCCCGAUGUGGGGCUUGAUCCCAGGACCCUGGGAUCAUGACCUGAGCCGAAGGCAGACGCUUAAUGACUGAGCCACCCAGGCACCCCCAAAGGCAGAUUCAUAACCAACUGAGCCACCCGGGCACCCCCACAUUCUGCAUUUAAAAAAAUUAAACAGCUUCAAAAAUUAUUAUUCACCACAUCCACUUUUUUUAGUCACAUAAUACAAGAGGCAUGCCUUGGUAAAGAUACUAGGCAUUCUUCAUGUCCCCUGAGUCUGUACAUGAUGGCUGGGCCUUAAAUCACAACUUUUGAGAUUUCUGAAUUGUUACUGCAUAUGUAACGUGUCCCAGGCCAUCCCAUCACCUAGCUUGUCUGACAACCCCCAGUGUGCAAGCUGUGUCAGCCAGCCAGUCUGGUAGCUUCACUCCUCUCUGGUAGACUUCGGAUACUGGAAAGUGGAUUAGGUAAGAUUUUGGUUUAAAGUAGUCAACUGUAGGAGCCACUGGUGUUUCUCGGUGCCGCGCCCCACCGCCUCUGUCCCGCCCCAGGAAGAGAAGGUAAACUUCGAGAGAAACCUGAUGGACAGUCUCCACAACAAAUGGUAACAAAAAAUAAUCCAGAUGGGAUGCAGGUGCAGUAAAAUGAUACAAAGGUAUCUCUUUGAUCCAGUUCAAGUGCCCUCCCCUGGCUAGGUCAAGGGCGUGAACAGCUGCCAGGUGGAUGAAGGUGACGGUAAAUUGAAAGGCAAACAGAGCGGCCAAGUCCUGGUGCAUAAAAACGAGCUGCAGACCAAGGGCCUGAAGAGGAUGGCCAGCGGAGGCAGAGCCUGCGGCGGACAGGAGCCCCACUGGUCUCCUCCAGGACCGCCCCCUCAGGGGGACAGAGCCGGGGGACACUGUGAGGACAGGGCUGGCAGUGCCAUCAACGGCAUUGGCCCCGUGGCCACCCCGCAGCCCACUGAGGAUCAUGUGCCGCACCGGGGUGACAGGGGCUCCUGACCGUGAACAGCACCUCCAUCCACUCAACACUUCCCGGAAGGAGGGGACCCCAGAAAACAGGACAGUGUGCUGUCGUCCGCAAUGGAUUUCCCAGCUGCUUCCAGGCCAGAAGGUCCCGCCUUGCAAGUACAAGACCGUGACCGCCACAUACCAGCCCCAGAUUACCCUCCCCUUCGGGGCUCAGCUGUAGACAAAGCUGAUCAGGAAGAAAAGGAUGGUAUUUCCAAGAGCCAGACUGAGGAGGAGGCCCUGGUGGGAAUUCACCCUAGGGUGGGGGAGCACGGUUUGAACAUGCCCUUCCCCUUGAAGAGAAGCUGGGGUUCGUUAAACGAGGCCGUGGCGACAGAAGUCCUAAGUGUCUACUUUGAAGCAGAGGAUGCUGCUCAGGCCGGGCCCGUGGUUGAUUCAAGAACCGGCUGGAAGGAUGCAUGGCUCCACCGGAGACAGCAGUGGGACAUGGAGGUGGAGGAUGCGGCCGUGGCCGAAGCCCUUGCGGCUUUAGAAGCAGCUUCUGCAGGAGAAGAGGCGGACGGGGCAGAUUAGGGUCUUGGGCAGGUGUCGUGCUGCGCUUGUGGGGUGUGCGUGCUCCUUGGACAGAGCUGAGGCCCCGCAGCCUGCGCCCUGAGCAGCCUUACAGGCUGUUUGCAUCAGCAUCCGUUCUGCUGCUCGCGAGUGCCUGCGCCAGGCUGCUGGUUGUUAAGUACUGAAAGCCCCACUGGAUAGACGGGCUAUCUCUCAGGGCGCCAGAAUAAAAAUCAGAGUGGGCAACGUGCUGGUGCCCACAGCACACGCAGAAAUUAAACAGCUUGCUCUCAACCCACAAAUCUCCCUCCAGAACCUCUGGGACAGAUGUUCUUGAGAACGCUCUGAAAUCUCAGGGCUUAAUCCCAAGGGCGCCGAAUCACAGAACAUUCUGUUUGUAAAUUCUUUGUCUUGCUUUUAAGAGCCAAACGUUGUACCCAACCUGGAAAAGGUAGCUAGCCCCACUCAAAGUGCCUAGUGUGUCCGCAGAGCAUGGUUUACCUUGAGGGACAGUCACCCGGGGAACUAACCACUAACCACUCGUUUGACAUUGAGUCAAGCUCAGCAACUUGCAGGAUGGAACAGAAGCCACCAGUAGUAAACAAAUGGCUGACCAUUAGCUGUGAUAUUAAGACACCUUGACCUUAGCUUUUUUACAUGAUUACUUUUUAAUCUCCUUUGGGAUUGGGGAGGCUGGUCAAAAUAAUUCUUAAAACUGUGUCACAUUUGAGUUUUGAAUUUAUGAGGUUGGGAACGGCAAAGAGAUAGAUGGUGUGUUUUAUGCCACUUAAUGUCCGAUUCUGCUUAAAACAUGACAACAUAAAAAAAAUAAAGUAGUAAACCGUAUCUCAAGCCAGCUUCAGCAAAAAAACACAAAUGAUCAUUUACAAAAAGGAAAUGGUGGAGGUCUCAUAGUAUCUGUAGGCAGGCAGGAAUGUAGCUGGAGCUCAAGGAGCUAGACCGGAACCAGGGACCAGAAAAUCAGCGCAGGAGCCCAGAAUGCGUCUCUCUUUGGGUGUCUCAUCUUUGCUUUUCUCUCUUUGCAGAAGGACGUUCUUGGCUUCUCUGCAGAGACUGACUGGCUGACUCUAGGCCCCAGGAAAAAUUCCCAGGAGAAAGAACCUGAUUGGCUAACUUUCUGGCAGGCACUACCCCUCAUCUAAUCAACUGCCAUCAUGGGGGCAGCGUCCCACAGUGUAGACAUGACUUCCUAUCCACAUCCGUAGAAAAGUAGUGCUGAGAGAAGCGAGAAGUACUGUGAGCUGUGUAGACACCUCAAAGGAUGAAGACAGGAGGGACUAUGGAAGGGCCUAUGGAUAAAAGUCCAAUUACUGUGUUUCAACAAGGAAGUUGCUUGAAGAAAUUUGUGCACCAGUGAUCCAAUUAAGCCUCCAGAGCCUGCCCCACCCAUGGGUAGGCCAAAAUACACCAUCGCAUCUCUGCUGGCCAUUUUCGUGGACAUUGCCCCAUGAAUUCCUUUUGUAAAAGUGUAUGUCUUCUAGAGUACACUAUAAUCCUGCAAAUAAAUCUUCAGUUGACUGAAGGAUCAGGAUUAGAGAAUAGACUAAAGAAACCAGGAGCUCAAGACUCUAUCUCCACCAGAAGAGCCAGUCAUCUGUGUAGCCUCUUCUUCCUGCCCAAAAUAGCUCUCUGGCUGACCUGAUGCCAGUAAAUCUCCUAUUAGAGUCCUUGCUUAUAGGUCCUUUGGAUAUUAUUAACCAAGCCUGACACGUAGAUGGUGUUCAGUAGUAUUUGUUGUAAGAUAUGGUGAUGACAUCAGGGAUUAGCAUGAAUGUCUUUCAGUUUAAUGAGAUCCGAUUACCCAUAGAGAAGCUGUUGGGUGGAGGAAGGCUGGUAAAAUGGAAAUGGGGUUCUAUUUAUUCUGUGACAGUAUAAGCACAGCAUAUUUUAAAAGACAGAAAAUAAAAACAGACGAUGAGCACCCUGUCGUAGGUUUACCUCUACCACAUCACAUUGCUUCCCCUCUUUUCCAUGACAUCCUAGCCACCUGCUGAUUGAUGUCUGUUGCUAAGACCCGAGGUGUGGGCCGAAAGGCUCUGCCAGAGUGAAAUAUACAAAGCUACGGCUCAUCCCCCCUCAACAGCUACAAACAAAUCGUCAGAGGGUGAAAAUAACUCAGUGGCUAGAUUUCCCGGGUUGACUUUGUUCAAAGCAAUUUAUCCAGAUAAGCCUUCCUUUUUUCUCCAUUAUUCUGGGAAAAUGCCAUCAGAAAAGAUCAUACAAAGUAAAUACACCAGGUUUUAAGAAAAGUCUAUAUAUUCCACUUCUAAGAAAUAUGUUUAAGGGGAACAAAAGGAAUUAUGGAGUUUUUGUUGCUGGUUUUAACACAAAUCAACUGAGUGCGUCCUCAUCAUCUGGUAACAACCUCACCCUUUUUGUUUCCAUAAAAUUAGACAGUGGUUGGAAAUGGUGGAAAGCAUGCUGGGAAAUCAAGAGGAAAAGUUUUUAAGUGGAAAACGGAGAUUAAAAAAUUGCACCAAGAACCUGGAGAACAAUUUGACAGAAUUCAAGCCAACCUGUGUCAUUUAUAAAUUGACUCCAAGGACUGUGUGUAUAAAACAGAUUAAAAUGACUAGUCUCUGGAGAAAAGGGAUUUAAAUGCAUAAGCACUUUUCUGUGUCAGCCAUGUUUUUAGUAAAAUUUUGAGAACACUUCAAGGCUCACACUUGGUACUAAAAUUUUUAGUUUUUAGAAAUGUAACUCAUGCAAAUAAAGGUUUCUUUGGACCCAAAUGAGAAUUAUUUUAUGAGAGAAACUCCAGUUUAAAAACUAUACCAUCGGGAUGCCUGGGUGGCUCAGUCGUUAAGUGUCUGCUUUCGGCUCAGGUCAUGAUCCCAGGGUCCCGGGAUCGAGCCCCGCAUCGGGCUCCCUGCUCAGCGGGAAGCCUGCUUCUCCCUCUCCCACUUCCCCUGCUUGUUUUCCUUCUCUCGCUGUGUCUCUCUCUGUCAAAUAAAUAAAAUCUUAAAAAAAUAAAAAAUAAAAACUACACCAUAGAGUGCCCAUCAGUGUAAGAAAACAGUUCAAUUAUUUUUUAAUAUUUGUCGAAUCAAAGCAGCACCAUAUCUGACUAAUUCCAUUAUUAUAAUUUGAAUAUUCUAUUAUAGUAUUGAUAUCCUGCUGCUUUUACGGUAUGCCUUGUUUUACACAAGCAAUGAAUUCAGACAAAUGCAUACGAAAAUAGAAUCCUAUUACCCUCCACUGUGUCUAAUAUGAUUCUGCUGGGUUGUUUCAAAGAUUUCUUUCUUUCUUUUAGAGAGAGCACACGUGUGAUCCAGGGAGGGGCAGAGGGAAAGAAUGUCAAGCAGACUCCCUGCUGAGCAAGGAGCCUGAUGCAGGCUCAAUGCAGGGCUCCAUGUGGGCUGGAUGCGGGGCUGGAUCUGGCAACCCUGAGACCAUGACCUGAGCUGAAAUCAAGAGUCUGACGAUUAACCGAGUGAGCCACCCAGCGCCCCUGGCUCUGCUGUUUUAAGGAUACCACUCAUUUUCCUCUCCCCACUUUCCCCACUUUUGUCCCCAUCUUCAUCCUUGCCCAGUUCAGUAAAGUGCACUAGACCAGUGGGAUAAGGAGGGAAAGGAUGAUAUAUUGGUUAGGGUAAACUUUUUUUCUGAAGAACUACUGAAUGUCAACCACCCCAAUAUAGUAUAAGAACACUUUUCACAAUUGAAACCGCAGCAUGAUUUGAAUUAAGCUUUUCAUUCAACAAACAUAGCGGAACAUCUGUGUACUUGUUGUUUUAGGUAUUGGAAAUACAAAUAUGAAUAAGAUAGCUUCUGACUCUUUUCAGAGAAAAGCAUCGUGAGGUGGGAGGAGUGACAGACAAUUUACAGUGUGGUUGGGUUUUAAAGGCUUGGAUAGGAAUUCACCGGGUAGACAAGGAAGAGAAGGGCUUCUGGGCAAAAGGAAGAGUAGGUGCAAGGCAAGAAGAUACGAAAUGCCAAGAUGUUUUGGGACCACCUAAGCAAAAGGUGAGGGGAGAUGAGGAUGGAAAGUGGUCAGAGAUGAUGUUGCAAAGAGACAAGAGCUAGAUCACAAAGGGCUUUGUAUACCACUGAUUAUUAGAGAGGCCUUCUCUCGUACUGGGUGGAGGUAGUGCACAUGGCCUCGAUGAAAUUGUCCCCACACUAUGUAUUUCUUUUGAUUCUCAUUUCAUACUUACUAAGUUGUUUUCUGGCUUGAUUGUAGAGAUACCUUGGUAUCAGGAAAGGGACACUCAGAGCAGUAAGCAGAAAUAAAAUGGUAAGUGGAAAAAUAGAACUCCAUUUCAGAUGAGUAGACAGAACAGAAAGUUCAGAAACAGACCCAAAUCUCUUUGGAAAUUAAUUAUAUGAUAAAAGUAGCAUUUCAAACCAUUACAGAAAGGAUGAGGAAAUGAUGCUGGAACAAUUGGUUAGCCUUUUGGGGAAAAAAAAUAAAGCUUGAUUCUCUCCCUUCGCCCCCAAAAAUAACUUGAUCCCUACCUAUUCCUUAAACCAGAUAAAUUCAAAAUGGAGCAAAGAUUUAACUGUUAAAGCGAAAAUAUUAGGAGAAAAUAUUGGUAAACAUUUCUUUCUCUUUUUAAAUAGAAUUACAUCUUUUUAUUUUUUGGAAAUGAUUUUUUUUUUAAAGUAACCUCUACACGAAAUGUGUGGCUCGAACUCACAACCCUGAGAUCAAGAGUCGUAUGCUCUGCUCUACCAACUAAGCCAACCGGUUUCAACCCCCUGCCCCCUGUACACAUUUCAAUAAUCCUAAGGUGGGGAAGAUAUUUUAAAGUAUGAUCCUAAACUCAGAAAUCAUAGAAAGAUUGAGAAAUCUGACUACAUAAAAAUGUAUAGUUUCCUAAUAGCACAUGAAUAUUGAAAAUAAAAACAAUGAGCUGUGGAAAAAAUAUUUACAUUUAUGAUAAAUGGCAAAUUUACUUAAUAUAUAAAGAGCUCUUUUGAAUCAAUAAAAAAAGCUCAACAUCAGAAUUAGGAAAAUGGCCAAUGGAGGUUGUUAACCUAAUCAGUCUCUCCAUAAUCAAAGUAACUAUGUAUUAUAAAUGUUAAAAAAUUCAACUAAAAAUUGUUAAAUGUCUUAUUUCUUUCAUCUUUGUUUCUCUGGACAAAGACUAACUCUCUUUCUUCUCAAAUAUGUAUAUCUGAUUAAUAUUUUACCUUCUUUAUUUUGGCUGCCCCUGUUUUCAAAAUGUAGACUUGAAACUGCUUUUCAAAUAUAUAUUAACCCUUUGAAAUAUGUUUAUUUGUGAACCUCCCUUUCUGGUGAAUCCUAAAACAAUACCUGAAAAGAUAUAGGGGUAGAUCUUUGUAGCCAUUGAAAAAGAAAUGUAAAGCUGGUGUGCUAAGAUCUGAGGGUCUAAUAGUUUCUGGAUUCUGGCUGGGACUCAAUCCUUCUCAUUUCUUUAUUAUUAUUAUUUUUAAAGAUUUUAUUUAUUUAUUUGAGAGAGAGAGAAUGAGAGAGAGCGAGCACAUGAGAGGGGGGAGGGUCGGAGGGAAAAGCAGACUCCCUGCCCAGCAGGGAGCCCGAUGCAGGACUCGAUCCAGGGACUCCAGGAUCAUGACCUGAGCCGAAGGCAGUGGCUUAACCAACUGAGCCACCCAGGCGCCCAGUCCCUCUCAUUUCUUCCUGCAUACUGAUAUUUUGUAGUUUUCAGUACACAACUCUUUGACUUCCUUGGUUUAAUUUUUUCUUAGGUAUUUUAUUCUUUUGGAUGUUAUGGUAAAUGCAAAUGUUUCCUCAAUUUGUUUUUUGGAUUGUUCAUUGCUAGUGUAUAGAAAUAUAAUUGAUUUUUGUAUGUUGAUCUUGUAUUCUGCAAAUUUGCUGCAUUCAUUUAUUAGCUUAAGUAGAUUUUUCUGGAGUCUUUAUAAUUUUCUGUUUAUGGGAUCAUGUCAUCUGUGAAUAAAUUUCAGUUCUUCCUUUCCAAUUUGGAUGUCUUUUAUUUCUUUUUCUUGCCUAAUUGACCUGGCUAGAACAUCCAGUACGAUGUUGAAUAGCAGUGAAGAAAAAGACAUCCUUGAA